GACAGAGGGUGCAAACGUUGUUCGGAAUUACUGGGCGUAAAGCGCGUGUAGGCUGCUUCGCAAGUCGGAUGUGAAAGCCCUGGGCUCAACCCAGGAAGUGCAUUCGAAACUGCAGAGCUGGAGUCCUGGAGAGGAAGGCGGAAUUCUCGGUGUAGAGGUGAAAUUCGUAGAUAUCGAGAGGAACACCGGUGGCGAAGGCGGCCUUCUGGACAGUGACUGACGCUGAGACGCGAAAAGCGUGGGGGAGCAAACAGG
rnacentral:rRNA from 1 species